rnacentral:tRNA from 1 species
GCCGACGUAGCCGACGCGGCGCAGCCGCUCGCGCAGGCGAGCGAUCUCUGUCUCGCGCUGGGCCGGUUCGGCCUCGGACGCCGGCA